GAUGAACGCUGGCGGCGUGCCUAAUACAUGCAAGUCGAGCGAACAGACGAGGAGCUUGCUCCUCUGACGUUAGCGGCGGACGGGUGAGUAACACGUGGAUAACCUACCUAUAAGACUGGGAUAACUUCGGGAAACCGGAGCUAAUACCGGAUAAUAUAUUGAACCGCAUGGUUCAAUAGUGAAAGACGGUUUUGCUGUCACUUAUAGAUGGAUCCACGCCGCAUUAGCUAGUUGGUAAGGUAACGGCUUACCAAGGCAACGAUGCGUAGCCGACCUGAGAGGGAGAUCGGCCACACUGGAACUGAGCCACGGUCCACACUCCUACGGGAGGCAGCAGUAGGGAAUCUUCCGCAAUGGGCGAAAGCCUGACGGAGCAACGCCGCGUGAGUGAUGAAGGUCUUCGGAUCGUAAAACUCUGUUAUUAGGGAAGAACAAAUGUGUAAGUAACUAUGCACGUCUUGACGGUACCUAAUCAGAAAGCCACGGCUAACUACGUG
rnacentral:rRNA from 1 species